UGAAGGGCCGCGGUAUUUUGACCGUGCAAAGGUAGCAUAAUCAUUAGUUCUUUAAUUGUGAUCUGGAAUGAAUGGCUUGACGAGACACGAGCUGUCUUAGGUUGUGAAUGUUUUAUUGAAUUUGGUUUUUGAGUUAAAAUUCUUAGAUGUUUUUAUGGGACGAGAAGACCCUAUAGAGUUUAACAUUUGGUCUAUUUUUCUUGUUGUUCGUUUUAUUUAAUUGAGUGGGCUUAUAUGUUUUGUUGGGGCGAUGAGAGGGAUAUAGUUUAACCCCUCUUUAUUUUGGUUAUAUUAAUUUAUAGUUGCUUGAUCCAUUGAUUUUGAUUAUAAGAUUAAAUUACCU
rnacentral:rRNA from 1 species